ACCAAAUCAUCCGAUUCAUGCCGAGCCAAGAUGGGAUCCGUCUGGAUUUACUGGUGAUUGAAACAAAUCGCACCAAAAGGAAGCGAGCCGCUGCAGAAUCCAGCAGUUCAUGUCGAACCGUGGGUAGAUCCAUUAAAACUAGUUGGUUUGAACCGUGUGGAGGAGUUCGAGAGACGGAUCAAGCAACUGCAGCUUCACUGGGCAAAAGUAGACGGCGAGGUAGAGAAAGAUUGCAGCGGAAAUUGAAAAGGUGCAGGUGCUCGGCGUCGGAGAUCGAGGGUGAGAGAGAAACGAUUUUGAUCCAAUUGAUCCCAUGAGAAUACAUCAUGGAGGUGAGAAGAGGAUAUCAUGAUCAAUUUCUAGUGGAAAAUCUUGAUUAAGGUGGCCAUGGUCCUAAAAUGUGGGAAGUAGUCUGGAUAUCAGAACUUGCAAAAUGAGAGCUAGAAGGCAAAAUGUGGAUACAAGAUCUGAUGUACUUUGAAUUUCCCAGGAUAUUAAGAUGCCAUGUUACCACACAGUUGAGUUGCAGAACCGGUGCUUUCUUUGACAAAGUUUUAGUUGACCUACGCUAUACUUAAAAUGUUUGAUGAAUCCAACAAAUUUCAUGUUA